rnacentral:rRNA from 1 species
CCUACGGGGGGCAGCAGUGGGGAAUAUUGCGCAAUGGGCGAAAGCCUGACGCAGCGACGCCGCGUGAGGGAUGAAGGUCUUCGGAUCGUAAACCUCUGUCAGCAGGGAAGAACGGUCACUGUGCUAAUCAGCAGUGAAUUGACGGUACCUGCAAAGGAAGCACCGGCUAACUCCGUGCCAGCAGCCGCGGGAAUACGGAGGGUGCGAGCGUUAAUCGGAAUUACUGGGCGUAAAGCGCUCGUAGGCGGUAUGUCAAGUCAAGGGGGAAAUCCCCGCGCUCAACGUGGGAACUGCCUUUGAAACUGGGAAACUGGAGUGUGUGAGAGGAUAGUGGAAUUCCAGGUGUAGGAGUGAAAUCCGGAGAUAUCUGGAGGAACAUCAGUGGCGAAGGCGACUAUCUGGCACAUAACUGACGCUGAGGAGCGAAAGCGUGGGUAGCAAACAGGAUUAGAUACCCGGGUAGUC